rnacentral:rRNA from 1 species
UACGUAGGGGGCAAGCGUUAUCCGGAUCUACUGGGUGUAAAGGGAGCGUAGACGGCGAUGCAAGCCAGAUGUGAAAGCCCGGGGCUCAACCCCGGGACUGCAUUUGGAACUGUAUAGCUAGAGUGUCGGAGAGGCAGGCGGAAUUCCUAGUGUAGCGGUGAAAUGCGUAGAUAUUAGGAGGAACACCAGUGGCGAAGGCGGCCUGCUGGACGAUGACUGACGUUGAGGCUCGAAAGCGUGGGGAGCAAACAGG